rnacentral:ncRNA from 1 species
UGGUCUAACAUAAAGGGCUUGUAGCGCCUCAAUUGCUGCAUCGUAUUCAGUACAAUCUUCGAUGUGUUGGAAGAGUGUUGGAGAAACAAAGUUAGUUAAAACGGUCAACUUGUCCAGGCCCGUCUGAGGUAGAACUUGUACGAAAUUUUCGAAGGUCCUUUUCCAAUGGAGCCAUUCCUUCUGGGCCGUGCCGCUAUUUGGAUCGGUUUCUAGGCGUUCAGGACGCAGUACUUUAUCCAUGGGACUUCAGAAAAUAUGUUGAUUAAAUUUGUAGUAGAAGGUAUGCCUCUAAACUGAGGCUUUAAUCAACAUAAAUCUACAGCUUGUGAAACUAAACCGAAAACUAAGCAAGAUGGCUGCCCCCUGAGAUUCUAUGGGGUAAAACCGCUGUACAACAAUAAACAUAACACAGGCAGCCCAACACGUAAUGUUCAAGGUUCUUAACAUACAUAAAUACUACAGGCCGCCUAUCGAAAGGGAAUCGGGUAAUAUUCCCGAACCGGGACGCGGAUAUUGCCGUUCGCGGCAGAUGCGGUAACGCAAACGAACCCGAAGACGCUGGCGGGGACCCUGGGAAGAGUUCUCUUUUCUUUUUAACGAGCUUUCACCCUGAAAUCAGCUUGCCUGGAGAUAGGGUUUAAUGCUCGGUAAAGCACCACACUUCUUGUGGUGUCCGGUGCGCUCUCGACGGCCCUUGAAAAUUCGGGGAAGACAUUGAUUUUCGUGUCCGGUCGUACUCAUAACCGCAGCAGGUCUCCAAGGUGAGCAGCCUCUGGUUGAUAGAACAAUGUAGGUAAGGGAAGUCGGCAAAAUAGAUCCGUAACUUC